AACUCUGUUCUUCUCAUAUAGCCCUUUACCCUCCAACCACACAGUCCUAUCCUGGUGUGUAUUUUUAACCUCUGAAGUGGCUACACGGUUUAAAUAGCCGUGUCUCCUCCAGCAACUGGGGUGGAGAUAAAUAGUCUUCCACCCAGAUUCACUUUGCUCUAAGUGAUGGCUUCCCUUUAGCUGGCACAUUUUGCAGGGGUUGGUUGCGCGCAGCUUGGGGCAUGAGCAUUGUGGCAUUGUGGGACGUUGUUUCAGCCUGCGACUUGAGGGUUAUGAGCUCGGGGAAGAGACAGUUAAAGCUUCCUCGCACCAGCAAGAUGAGUUGUACCACAGCGCUCAUGCCAAGGUCAGCAGUCUGAGUGGAGCUGAGACACUUAAUGCCCGUUCCAAGCAGUGCCAAGCACCUCUGGAAGCCCCUGCCUAGGACCCCAAAUUUAGAUUCAUGCUGCAGUCUGGAGAGUGUUCUGACGGCUGCCGGGCUACAGGGAAAAGCACACUGCACACUGCCUCUGAAACGAGACAGAGCUCUCCAGGCUGGGAGUCUGAGGAAGCCGGACCUGAGCAGCG
rnacentral:lncRNA from 1 species